rnacentral:rRNA from 1 species
AUUGAACGCUGGCGGCAGGCUUAACACAUGCAAGUCGAGCGAGCGGCGGACGGGUGAGUAAUGUCUGGGAAACUGCCUGAUGGAGGGGGAUAAAUACUGGAAACGGUAGCUAAUACCGCAUACCAUCAGAUGUGCCCAGAUGGGUUUAGCUAGUAGGUGGGCUAAUGGAUCCCCUAGGCGACGAUCCCUCGCUGGUCUGAGAGGAUGACCGGCCACACUGGAACUGAGACACGGUCCAGAACCAUACGGGAGGCAGCAGUGGGGAAUAUUGCACAAUGGGCGCAAGCCUGAUCGAGCCAUGCCGCGUGUGUGAAGAAGGCCUUCGGAUUGUAAAGCACUUUCAGCGAGGAGGCGUUACUCGCAGAAGAAGCACCGGCUAACUCCGUGCCAGCAGCCGCGGUAAUAC